CUAGUAACGGCGAGUGAAGCGGCAACAGCUCAAAUUUGAAAUCUGGCCCCCGGGUCCGAGUUGUAAUUUGUAGAGGAUGCUUUUGGUGCGGUACCUUCCGAGUUCCCUGGAACGGGACGCCAUAGAGGGUGAGAGCCCCGUCUGGUUGGACGCCAAUCCUUUGUAAAGCUCCUUCAACGAGUCGAGUAGUUUGGGAAUGCUGCUCUAAAUGGGAGGUAUAUGUCUUCUAAAGCUAAAUAUUGGCCAGAGACCGAUAGCGCACAAGUAGAGUGAUCGAAAGAUGAAAAGCACUUUGAAAAGAGAGUUAAAAAGUACGUGAAAUUGUUGAAAGGGAAGCGCUCAUGACCAGACUUGGGCUUGGUUGAUCAUCCAGGGUUCUCCCUGGUGCACUCUUCCGGCCCAGGCCAGCAUCAGUUCGCUGUGGGGGAUAAAGGCUUCGGGAAUGUGGCUCCCUCGGGAGUGUUAUAGCCCGUUGUGUAAUACCCUGUGGUGGACUGAGGUUCGCGCAUUCGCAAGGAU
rnacentral:rRNA from 1 species